AUUGAACGCUGGCGGCAUGCCUUACACAUGCAAGUCGAACGGUACCGCGGGGCAACCUGGCGACGAGUGGCGAACGGGUGAGUAAUAUAUCGGAACGUGCCCAGGAGUGGGGCAUAGCACGGCGAAAGCCGGAGUAAUACCUCAUACGACCUACGGGUGAAAGCGGGGGAUCGCAAGAACACGCGCGAUUGGAGCGGAGUAUAACAGAUGAGGUAGUUGGUGGGGUAAAGGCGUACCAAGCCUGCGAUCUGUAGCUGGUCUGAGAGGGCGACCAGCCACACUGGGACUGAGACACGGCCCAGACUCCUACGGGAGGCAGCAGUGGGGAAUUUUGGACAAUGGGCGAAAGCCUUAUCCAGCCAUGCCGCGUGCGGGAAGAAGGCCUUCGGGUUGUAAACCGCUUUUGUCAGGGAAGAAACGCUCUGGGCUAAUACCCCGGGGUAAUGACGGUACCUGAAGAAUAAGCACCGGCUAACUACGUGCCAGCAGCCGCCGUAA
rnacentral:rRNA from 1 species